CAGCAUUCUCCUGCAGCUGUAUUGCUGCUCAGCCCCUGGGGAUGUGUUUCCUAUUGCACCAGCAUUGUUCGUUCACUUCCAGCAACCGCGGGCAGGCACAGACCCAUCCAGUCCCUGCUGCUCCCACUGCUGCCCCGUGCCGUGGAGGGGAGGAUGCAGUAAUGCUCCUUAUCCUUUAUAUUUUACCACUUGCUGCCAGAGAUGCACAUAACCGAGGCAGAACCAGGGAACCUGAGCAGAAUCAGACCCACUCAUGCUGGGGGUGAGCUGCGUGGAUGCAAGCUGCUGUGGGUGUGAUGCUGAGCAGAGCUGUUGGGGUUGCAUUGAGGAGGAAC
rnacentral:lncRNA from 1 species